rnacentral:rRNA from 1 species
GAUGAACGCUGGCGGCGUGCCUAAUACAUGCAAGUCGAGCGAACAGACGAGGAGCUUGCUCCUCUGACGUUAGCGGCGGGCGGGGGAGUAACACGUGGAUAACCUACCUAUAAGACUGGGAUAACUUCGGGACACCGGAGCUAAUACCGGAUAAUAUAUUGCACCACAUGGUUCAAUAGUGAAAGACGGGUUUGCUGACACUUAUAGAUGGAUCCGCGCCGCAUUAGCUGGUUGGUGAGGUAACGGCUUACCAAGGCGACGAUGCGUAGCCGACCUGAUAGGGUGAUCGGCCACACUGGAACUGAGACACGGUCCAGACGCCUACGGGAGGCAGCAGUAGGGGAUCUUCCGCAAUGGGCGAAAGCCUGACGGAGCAACGCCGCGUGAGUGAUGAAGGGCCUCGGAUCGUAAAACUCUGUUAUUAGGGAAGAACAAAUGUGUAAGUAACUAUGCACGUCUUGACGGUACCUAAUCAGAAAGCCACGGCUAACUACGUG